rnacentral:ncRNA from 1 species
AAGUUGGUAUUCUAACGCCAUGGAAUAGCUUCUGACUCUGGUGUUUGUUGCACAGGGGGAAGCCAAGAUGGGCUGGAGUUAGCCGUGUCUCCAGUUCUCUUGGCUUU